CCCUUAGAUGUUCUGGGCCGCACGCGCGCUACACUGUUCGACGCAGCGAGUCUUAACCUUGACCGAAAGGUUUGGGUAAUCUUCAGCAAAGUCGAACGUGAUGGGGAUCGAUCAUUGCAAUUAUUGAUCGUGAACGAGGAAUUCCUAGCAAGUGCAAGUCAUCAGCUUGCGCUGAUUACGUCCCUGCCCUUUGUACACACCGCCCGUCGCUACUACCGAUUGAAUGGUUUAGUGAGAUCUCUGGAUUGACGCUGGCUAGGGGGCGACCCUUGGCCAGGCUGUCGAGAAACUGCUCAAACUUGAUCAUUUAGAGGAAGUAAAAGUCGUAACA
rnacentral:rRNA from 1 species